CUUCAUCAAGUUUUGGGCAUGGCCAAAGCAGUGUAAGGAGCUUGCGUAACUGUGUGUCGAUACCAACGGCAAUAUCAGAUGUCUCGUUUGUCAUUGAUAGUAAAGAAACACCAGACACCAAAACGAAUUCAGAAGCUAUGACACGUUUACAGUAAUUUUAAGUCAAACAACAUUGGAUUCACGAACUCGGCAAAAAGACAAGGAGUUGUUUAUGGAAUCUGUUGCUGAUUCAUAAUUUAUUGGUACCGUUUCAAUACUGAUUCUAUUGCGUUUUGAUAAACAACUAUUGUGUUUAGAAUUUUCGUCGGAUUAUGACUAAUACGGUUUUCAUCAGCUGCAUAUUAUUCCUUUAGAACUAUUUUCUUGGAACAUCCUUGAGAGUGUCAUCUUUAGUUAUGAAAAGAGAGGUAAUUUGAAAAGGAAGAAGUAGGCACGAAUUUUAUCGAACUUUCAAGGGACGACAAGUUCUCCCAAAUAGCAUGUGCACAUGUAACAAAUGAAUUUACUCAUUGUGUCGGCUGCUACGCACGAAUACUUGAAUUAUUAUUCCAUUUUAAAAUAUAAUGAUAACAAGGAAAGCCGACAUACUCAAACUGGCGGCUACAUUUAAAAUUAUGCAAUAACGAAAGCAUUGCUAACAUGUGCUUCCAACAAAGUAUGGCAUAAUUCAACCUGUUCAAAUGUUUGUGCUUUUGAGUUUUGGGAUGUUUCGCUCUUUCAACAUAUGCAUAAAACGUUUCCAUUUAUUGAUAACAUGUAUUCCAGACAUUUACUUGUGUACGCUAAUUGACAACGGAAUUUAUGUGUUUCAUAUAUAUAAAUAUUCAUGCUACUGUACUUUAUGCGGUUCUGUUUAAAAGACUAACUUUAAAUUAUUGUUCCGAUUAAUGAUGUCACCCUUAAGAGCCACUGUAUCAGUUUUCCGCUCUACCCAUUAUUACUCACUUUUAACAAUUACAUAGUCAUGACCGCUUAAGUGCAACUAUCGUAUACACAUUGUUCAUUGUAUAAUGAGAUUAA